GACGAACGCUGGCGGCGUGCUUAACAAAUGCAAGUCGAGCGGAAAGGCUCCUUCGGGGGUACUCGAGCGGCGAACGGGUGAGUAACACGUGAGUAAUCUGCCCUUGGCUUCGGGAUAGCCACCGGAAACGGUGAUUAAUACCGGAUACGACAACUUCUCGCAUGGGAUGGUUGUGGAAAGUUUUUUCGGCCAGGGAUGUGCUCGCGGCCUAUCAGCUUGAUGGUGAGGUAAUGGCUCACCAUGGCUUCGACGGGUAGCCGGCCUGAGAGGGGGACCGGUCACACUGGGACCGAGCCACGGCCCAGACUCCUACGGGAGGCAGCAGUGGGGGAUAUUGGACAAUGGGCGGAAGCCUGAUCCAGCAACGCCGCGUGAGGGAUGACGGCCUUCGGGUUGUAAACCUCUUUCGGUAGGGACGAAGCGCAAGUGACGGUACCUACUAAAGAAGCACCGGCCAACUACGUGCCAGCCGCCGCCGUAAGAC
rnacentral:rRNA from 1 species